rnacentral:sRNA from 1 species
UGUCCACAUCCGUGUAUGGUAAAACUCCACCCAUGGUACAUUUGCAUAGCAGUGAAAAAAACUGGUAUUUCCUAUCUGUGAGUGAGUCAC